ACACAUGCAAGUCGAGCGGAGACAGGGAGUAGCUUGCUAUGAACUGUUUUAGCGGCGGACGGGUGAGUAACGCGUGAGCAACCUUUCCCAGACAGGGGGAUAACACACCGAAAGGUGUACUAAUACCGCAUAAGACCACGGAAUCACAUGGUUCUGAGGUAAAAGAUUUAUCGGUUUGGGGUGGGCUCGCGUCCGAUUAGGUAGUUGGUGAGGUAACGGCCCACCAAGCCGACGAUCGGUAGCCGACCUGAGAGGGUGAUCGGCCACAUUGGGACUGAGACACGGCCCAAACUCCUACGGGAGGCAGCAGUGGGGAAUAUUGGGCAAUGGAGGAAACUCUGACCCAGCAACGCCGCGUGGAGGAAGAAGGUUUUCGGAUCGUAAACUCCUGUCCUUGGAGACGAGUAGAAGACGGUAUCCAAGGAGGAAGCCCCGGCUAACUACGUGCCAGCAGCCGCGGUAAUACGUAGGGGGCAAGCGUUGUCCGGAAUAAUUGGGCGUAAAGGGCGCGUAGGCGGCUCGGUAAGUCUGGAGUGAAAGUCCUGCUUUUAAGGUGGGAAUUGCUUUGGAUACUGUCGGGCUUGAGUGCAGGAGAGGUUAGUGGAAUUCCCAGUGUAGCGGUGAAAUGCGUAGAGAUUGGGAGGAACACCAGUGGCGAAGGCGACUAACUGGACUGUAACUGACGCUGAGGCGCGAAAGUGUGGGGAGCAAACAGGAUUAGAUACCCUGGUAGUCCACACUGUAAACGAUGAAUGCUAGGUGUAGGGGGUAUCGAUCCCUUCUGUGCCGCAGUCAACACAAUAAGCAUUCCGCCUGGGGAGUACGGCCGCA
rnacentral:rRNA from 1 species